rnacentral:lncRNA from 1 species
AAUCUACUUUUUCUGAUACUAAUAUAAUCACAACAGUUUUUAUUUGGUGAAUUUUUGCAUGGUAAAUCUUUUCCCAUCCAUUUACUUGUAUAUUAGAGAGUUUAUUGUUGCCAUUGUUUCAGUAAAUGUCUAAGUUUAUGAGAUUCUUCCAAACUGGUUUUCAGAAUGGCUGUAACAUUUUGCAUUCUCUUGCCUUACAGUUUGCAUCAUUAUUUUAGUGAGAAGGAUUUGAAAUUAACUCGAUCUGUCUGUCAUAAACACGUGCAUUUUAAGGAAAUUUGCAAGAGAAAAUUAAAAAGUAAGCUGGAGACACACAUCAUGAAAUCUUCUUCCAAAAGGCCUUGAGCAGUGAGGCAUUCUAGCAACUCUCACAAGGGAGGAACAGUGGUCUGAUUAGAUGCAUUUCAUCAGAAAUUCAAAUCUGAGUACCUUUGGCAAGUUCAGACUGGGUUCAGCCUGGGACAACACAUACGAAAAGGUUCAAUCUGUGAAGGAAGGAACAGAUCUUUGAUGAAGCAGACAUGAAUAUGAUAUAGUUUGUUAACAAAACUGUCACUAAAUGACUAACAUCUCAAGAAGAGUGGGGUUUUCCAAGAUACAGUUGGCUUAGGAAGCUUUCUCUUCUAAGAGGACUGCUUCUGUGUUGAGCAGGUACCCUUCUACAUGUGAAUCGACUGGUACAACCAAAAUUUUUGUGAGUAGAAAAUUGUUCUGUUGAAUGUUAUUAAGAGUGAUGAUAAGAAAAAUA